rnacentral:rRNA from 1 species
GGUUAAGCGACUAAGCGUACACGGUGGAUGCCCUGGCAGUCAGAGGCGAUGAAGGACGUGCUAAUCUGCGAAAAGCGCCGGCGAGGUGAUAUGAACCUUUGACCCGGCGAUGUCCGAAUGGGGAAACCCAGUGCAAUCCGUUGCACUAUCGUUAACUGAAUACAUAGGUUAACGAGGCGAACCGGGGGAACUGAAACAUCUAAGUACCCCGAGGAAAAGAAAUCAACCGAGAUUCCCCCAGUAGCGGCGAGCGAACGGGGAGCAGCCCGGAGUC